GAAUUCCCAGUAAGUGCGGGUCAUAAGCUUGCGUUGAUUAAGUCCCUGCCCUUUGUACACACCGCCCGUCGCUACUACCGAUUGGAUGGUUUAGUGAGGCCCUCGGAUCGGCCCCGCCGGGGUCGGCCCACGGCCCUGGCGGAGUGCUGAGAAGACGGUCGAACUUGACUAUCUAGAGGAAGUAAAAGUCGUAACAAGGUUUCCGUAGGUGAACCUGCGGAAGGAUCAUUA
rnacentral:ncRNA from 1 species